AUCCACUUCCUUAUAAACUCACUCACCGAAUCAGCGAAUACGUCGAUAUUAUUCUCUGAGGCUACCCAGAACAUGUCCCAGUCCGCGUGAUCAAAACAAUCUUGAAUCAUGCAUUCAGAUUGGUCAGACCAGUGUUGAAUAGUUAUUAACACGGGUACAUCCAGUUUGAGUUUCUGCCUAUAGGAAGGGAGGAGCAAAAUUGAGUCAUGGUCAGAUUUGCCAAAAGGGGCCUUGUAUGCAUCGCGGAAGUUAGAGUAGCAGUGAUCCAGAGAUUUUCCAGCACGAGUACUACAGUCAAUAUGCUGAUAGAAUUCAGGUAGCCUUGUUCUCAAAUUUGCUUUGCUAAAAUCCCCAGCUACAAUAAAUGCAGCCUCAGGAUAUAUGGUUUCCAGUUUUCAUAAAGUCCAGUGAAGUUGCUUGAGUGCCAUCGUGGUAUCAGCUUCAGGGGGCAUAUACACGGCUGUGACAAUAACCCAGGGGAAUUAUCUUGGGAGAAUAUACGGUCAGCAUUUGAUUGUGAGAAAUUCUAGGUCAGGUGAACAAAAGGACUUGAGUUCCUGUAUGUUGUUACAAUUACACCACGAGUCAUUAAUCAUGAAACAUACACCCCCCCCCUCUUCCCGAAGAGAUGUUUAUUCCUGUCGGCGCGACGUACAAAGAAUCCAGAUGGCUGUAUCGACUCCGACAGCAUAUCCCGAGAGAGCCAUGUUUCCGUGAAACAGAGUAUGUUACAAUCCCUGAUGUCUCUCUGGAAAGCAACACUUGCACUAAUUUCAUCUACCUUGUUAUCUAGAGACUGGACAUUAGUGAGUAAUAUACUCGGAAGCGGUGGGUGGUGUGCGCGCCUCCGAAGUCUGACCAGAAGACCGCUCCGUCUACCUCUUCUUUGGCAGCGUUGUUUUGGCUCAGCCUCUGGAAUCAGCUCAAAUGCCCUGUGAAGUUCGGACAAAGGAUCAGCUUCGGGAAUGUCGUAUUCCGAGUCCUAAUGCUGACUGGAGGAAUCUGGGAAUGUCCAUGCGCAUAGAGCGCUCCUCAUUGGACCGGGUGAAGAAACUAUUUGAAGCUAACAAUAAGAAGAUUGAGGAGAAGCAGAAGGAGAAUGAUUUUGAAGAGUGCAUGAAAGAGCUUUGAGAAGAGGAGGAGAAAGCAAAAGCUUACAAAAAGGAGAAGCAGAAAGAAAAGAUUCUUAAAGCAGAGGAGGAUCUCUUCGAGGAGAAUGAUGAAAUCGCUGACAUGAUAGGAUUCUCAGGGUUUGGUUCCUCAAACAAAGACAAAAUUACCUAAAGAAAUGUAUUUGACCACAAAGAAAACUUUGCUGUCUGUAGUAUUCUAUUAGUGUCACUAUACUCCCUCUCCGGCCUCUAGGUCAUCAGGCUGCUGAUUAUCCUGCACACCUGUCACCAUCGUAUCGCGCACCUGGGCCGCAUGACAAAAAAAUAAAAAAAAAUAAAAAAUAAAAAAAUGCAUGUAAUUAAAUGAAAUGUAUGCAAUCACUACUGUAAGUCGCUCUGGAUAAGAGCGUCUGCUAAAUGACUAAAAUGUAAAUGUAAAUGACACUCACCUGGACUCCAUCACCUCCUUGAUUAACUUCCC